UACGUAGGGUGCAAGCGUUACCCGGGUUUAUUGGGCGUAAAGAGUGCGUAGGCGGUUUUGAAAGUCAUUAUUGAAAUCUUGGGGCUCAACCCCAAGCUUGGUAGUGAUACUUCGAGACUAGAUUACUUGAGGGGGUACCGGAACAGUUGGUGGAGUAGUGAAAUGCGUUGAGAUCAACUGGAACACCAAAGGCGAAGGCAGGUACCUGGCAAGUUUAUGACGCUGUUGCACGAAAGCGUGGGGAGCAAAACGG
rnacentral:rRNA from 1 species